rnacentral:rRNA from 1 species
GACGAACGCUGGCGGCGUGCCUAAUACAUGCAAGUAGAACGCACAGUUUAUACCGUAGCUUGCUACACCAUAGACUGUGAGUUGCGAACGGGUGAGUAACGCGUAGGUAACCUGCCUGGUAGCGGGGGAUAACUAUUGGAAACGAUAGCUAAUACCGCAUCAUAUUGAUUAUUGCAUGAUAAUUGAUUGAAAGAUGCUAUUGCAUCACUACCAGAUGGACCUGCGUUGUAUUAGCUAGUAGGUGAGGUAACGGCUCACCUAGGCGACGAUACAUAGCCGACCUGAGAGGGUGAUCGGCCACACUGGGACUGAGACACGGCCCAGACUCCUACGGGAGGCAGCAGUAGGGAAUCUUCGGCAAGGGACGAAAGUCUGACCGAGCAACGCCGUGUGAGUGAAGAAGGUUUUCGGAUCGUAAAGCUCUGUUGUAAGAGAAGAACGGGUGUGAGAGUGGAAAGUUCACACUGUGACGGUAUCUUACCAGAAAGGGACGGCUAACUACGUG